AUUCUCGCCCGUCCACUCCCAGCGUAAAGAGGAUUCCGCGACUCGGAGACCGCAAUCUACCCGCCAGUCUCCAUAACGUAGGCCAGAGCAGCUGGGCUAAAUAAAACAGAGCCGGGGCUCUCCCUUCCCAAAGGCCUACAUCGCCCACUGGUCCGGGCUCGGAGCUCAGCAGAACCAGAGUAGGAGCGGUUGUUGCCGGCACGGAGGAGGGAGAGCGCUUGUGACGCUACGAACCUCUCGAACACCUGACGACUGGGCGCCAGGGCCGGAUGGAGGGUGGAGAGCCAGUGCGGCGCAGCGGCCUCCUCUUAACGGGGACACCUUGCAGGAAUGUGCGGAGUGGAGCUAACGGGAGCGGAUAGAAACCGAGGGAGGGGAAGAGAGCGCGAAGGCUUGGCCGGAAGGAGAGGUUAAAAAGGAAAGGCCUAAAAUGAGGAAGAGAGUUACCACAACAAGCAGUACCUAGUUCCAGUUCUUGGUCCCAGGAGUUUGUGGUUGUUGCUGCUUUCAUCUUCCUCAGCCAACACAAAAGGAAAGUGCCAAGGGGCGAUUCCUAGGACCUUCAGUGCAGUCUCCACCUUGCGGACUUGGCUCGUUUGUGUCCACUCCUUUCUCCAGCCUUUUACACUUGAUGCUCUUGGAUGAAUAGAA
rnacentral:antisense_RNA from 1 species